rfam:Absidia glauca strain CBS 101.48 genome assembly, contig: contig_5314
AACUUUCAGCAAUGGAUCUCUCGGCUUUCGUAUCGAUGAAGAACGCAGCGAAUCGCGAU